AUUGAACGCUGGCGGCAUGCUUUACACAUGCAAGUCGAACGGUAACAGGCCUUCGGGUGCUGACGAGUGGCGAACGGGUGAGUAAUGCAUCGGAACGUACCCAGAGGUGGGGGAUAACGCAGCGAAAGCUGUGCUAAUACCGCAUGUGAUCUGAGGAUGAAAGCGGGGGACCGAGCAGCAAUGUUUGGCCUCGCGCCUUUGGAGCGGCCGAUGUCGGAUUAGCUAGUUGGUGGUGUAAAGGCCUACCAAGGCGACGAUCCGUAGCUGGUCUGAGAGGACGACCAGCCACACUGGGACUGAGACACGGCCCAGACUCCUACGGGAGGCAGCAGUGGGGAAUUUUGGACAAUGGGCGCAAGCCUGAUCCAGCAAUGCCGCGUGCGGGAAGAAGGCCUUCGGGUUGUAAACCGCUUUUGGCAGGAACGAAACGGUGUCCGCUAAUACCGGGCGCUAAUGACGGUACCUGCAGAAUAAGCACCGGCUAACUACGUG
rnacentral:rRNA from 1 species